CCUACGGGUGGCUGCAGUGGGGAAUAUUGGACAAUGGGCGAAAGCCUGAUCCAGCCAUGCCGCGUGUGUGAAGAAGGCCUUCGGGUUGUAAAGCACUUUCAGUGGGGAAGAAAGCCUUGGGGCUAAUACCCUCGAGGAAGGACAUCACCCACAGAAGAAGCACCGGCUAACUCCGUGCCAGCAGCCGCGGUAAUACAGGAGGGUGCGAGCGUUAAUCGGAAUUACUGGGCGUAAAGCGCGCGUAGGCGGUCUGAUAAGCCGGUUGUGAAAGCCCCGGGCUCAACCUGGGAACGGCAUCCGGAACUGUCAGGCUAGAGUGCAGGAGAGGAAGGUAGAAUUCCCGGUGUAGCGGUGAAAUGCGUAGAGAUCGGGAGGAAUACCAGUGGCGAAGGCGGCCUUCUGGACUGACACUGACGCUGAGGUGCGAAAGCGUGGGUAGCAAACAGGAUUAGAUACCCCAGUAGUC
rnacentral:rRNA from 1 species